AUUGAACGCUGGCGGCAUGCUUUACACAUGCAAGUCGAACGGCAGCGCGGGCUUCGGCCUGGCGGUGAGUGGCGAACGGGUGAGUAAUGCAUCGGAACGUGCCCAGUAGUGGGGGAUAGCCCGGCGAAAGCCGGAUUAAUACCGCAUACGACCUGAGGGUGAAAGCGGGGGACCGAAAGGCCUCGCGCUAUUGGAGCGGCCGAUGUCGGAUUAGCUAGUUGGUGGGGUAAAGGCUUACCAAGGCGACGAUCCGUAGCUGGUCUGAGAGGACGACCAGCCACACUGGGACUGAGACACGGCCCAGACUCCUACGGGAGGCAGCAGUGGGGAAUUUUGGACAAUGGGGGCAACCCUGAUCCAGCCAUGCCGCGUGCGGGAAGAAGGCCUUCGGGUUGUAAACCGCUUUUGUUCGGGAAGAAAUCCUCUGGGCUAAUACCCCGGGGAGAUGACGGUACCGGAAGAAUAAGCACCGGCUAACUACGUG
rnacentral:rRNA from 1 species